GCUGUGACUAGCUUAGCUAGAGAACCGUAAAGCCACGAUUUAGCCAGGAUAACGUGACUGUGUGACAUGCCUUGUUAUCCAGAAACAAGCCAAUUUACAUAUGGUUAUAGAAAACCAGACGUUACUCAGAGGAAACUGGAUUGGAUUUAAAGCCCAAAUCAUUUUAUAACCACCUGACUUACAGAAAAUAGUGAUGGAUUAUUUAAAAGAUAUAAUAUACCAUUUACGAUCGUAAUUUUCAUUCGAUCACCACAUCCUGCUUGCAACACUUGAAAAUGUGAUUCUUAUUCCCUUGACACCUAGACCUGGGUUAGUCUAAAAAUAAAGUUUUAUCCUAGAAUUUGAACAAAACAGUAAGUCUCCUUCCUAAUCCGUGACAAUUACUGCAAAUGUACAAGAACAUUUUGUUUUGAAAUAUCCCUGACCAUAUGUUAGAGGUUUAACCUGCUACAAGUAACAAUAAUGCACUCAGCUCAGGGCAAGC